UGCAGGCACGUUCAGAUCCCCCUCCAUCCGAAAAUAUUAGUGCCACAGCUUGGCACAGGAUGGUUGUAACAAUCUCUAGAAUCAUAAAUAUCAGGCAGUCAGCUAAGAUCAGCUCAUUUGCAUUAAAAAGCUGAUGAAACAGCUCAGCACAGCCACCAAAAAUUGCAUCACAGGCCAGUUAUAGCGAAUUCACUUCGGGAGCCACCAAAAAUCAACAAUGUGAGCGACUUGAUACUUGGGUUAAAAAGGGCUACAAAAUGGUGCACAUCAAAACACAGAGACAGCACCGAUCCCAGGGAGGGCAUCACCAAAACCAGCCCUCCAGGAUCAAAACAAGCAGCGAAAGGGAUCCGUCUAAAAGCAAGGCAGAAGGGAGGUUUCGGCUCGGCUUUUGGGAUGUCACGAGCGGGGAGAGGAGAGAGAAAGUUCCCCGAGAUGUGGGGCUGGAAGGAGCAGGGGCAGGAGAUGGGAAGGCAGGGGAUCAGAGGCGGGCAACGGGGAGAAAGGAGGAAAAGUUGGGAGGCACGGAAAGGGAAGGAAAAGGCGAGUUGCAGGGAGGAUACUAUCCAGGAAGAAAGCGGAGGGAGGGGCGAGGCGAGACAGACAGCGAUGGAGGGGGAACCAGAGGGGCAUGGGAGAGUUGGCUGCUCCAGGCAGGGCCUACUCCGAGGGCUCAUCCAACAGAAGCUCUGCUAAAAAUGGCUGCUUUGCUUCCACUGCCCCUUCCCCCUCCCCCAGAGCUCGGCUCCCUUCCCUCCGUGUCCCCGGGCGGCUGCGAGCCCGGGGCCGCCACUCACCAGGCAGAAGAGGAAGUCAGAACGUUUUUCUCGUCUUCUGGAGCUCCACCGGGGGGGUAAAGCCACGGUGGAAGGGGAGAACAGAAAGAGGGAGGUGAUGCCAAGCAAGAGAAGUAGGAAAACAUAAAUAAUCCAGCGGGGGCAAUUAAUCCAGAACCCCCCCUCCUCUUCCUCCUGUUCCUUUAGUCAUCAGAUGAGAAAGGGGCAAA